GGGCUUGUGGUUUAGUGGUAUAAUACUCCCUUAGCAUCUCAUUGAGAAUGACUGGGAGUGGUCCGGGGUUCGAGUACGUUCCCUGUAUCGCUU